AUGGCUUCUUCAGCCCUCCUACUACUUAUUCUCAUGGUUGUGGCCGCCACGGUGCAUGGCCACACCCAUACCCCUGGAGGCACUCCGGCGGCACGAUUCUGGGAGGCGGCCCUCCCGGACUCGCCGAUGCCGGAGUCCAUCGUCCACCUCGUGCAGAAAGGCACCGAUCACUCGCCGCUCCAGCAACACCAUUCUGCCGCCAUGAUCCUGCCCAACGCGUGCCUCGGCUACUCCUACAGGAUCAUAUGCAAUAGUCCUGCCCAACAGGCGUUGUCUGUGGAAGGCCUCUUCUUCCGCGAGUCCGACAUGCGUGUGGGGCGCACCAUGACGGUUGCCCGGCCGGCGUUCGACCCGGCGCCGUUCCUCCCGCGCAAAGCUUCCGAGAGGAUUCCCUUCGGCAACCUCACGGAUGCCCUCGAUAGGUUCGGCACUGCGCCGGGCUCCCAAGAGGCGGCCCGGGUAGGCGAGACACUGAGCGCCUGCAGUGAGGCGCCUCUCGCCGGCGAAAAGAAGGCCCGGCCCUUGGCCGCAGCGGCGUCCGCACUUCCCAACUCUGGCCUGCCGCGCCGCGUCUACACUGUGCAGGCUAUCAAGUCACUAGGCGGAGGAGGCGGCGGCUACGUGGCAUGCCAUAGGAGGGCUUACCCGUACGCUGUGUACGAGUGCCACAUGAUGGAGGAUUCAUCCGAGGAGGCAUACGUCGUCUCCAUCCGCGGCAGCAGCGGCCUCCCGACCGUGGACAUGGCGGCGGUGUGCCAGUUCGACACCUCUAAUUGGAUUCCAGCUCACCCAGCCUUCAAGAUCCUGGGCACCCACCCCGGCGGCUCACCCGUGUGCCACUUUCUUCCCUACGCCGACCUCAUGUUCGGCGUGAAGUUGGCUAACAAUGCAUAG
rnacentral:rRNA from 1 species